rnacentral:lncRNA from 1 species
GCGGGAAUCACAAUUUUUUAACUAUAUUUGCAAAAUUCAAUUUCAAAACACGAUUAAUGUAUAGUUUCGGAGUUGUAGUUAAUGUCGGGGUUAAGCUUCACUCUCAUACAAACGUUUCUCCAGUGAGGUCCGAAAGUGCUGCUGUACAUUUCGAUGAUACCAAUAAGGUCACGUCCUUUAGAUCUCCUUUUUUUGAUUUUCUGAACAUUUAACUGUAAGAAACUAUAUCUAUUCCAACCCUGAAGCGACAACAAAAGUGAAGUGUUAAAUUUUGGGUUUGAGUAAGUGUAAGGGCCAGUGUUUG